UAAUCAAUCACCUUAUAUGUCCUUUACCUGAAUAUGGUCUGAUUUCUACUGUCUUUUUGACCUACUAUAUAAGAAAAGACAGAUAUUAUUCUAAAUCUUCCAAUGUCCUAGUUACCUGAAAUGAUCUUAAAUCUAUUGCUUCUUGGCCUUUUGGCUAAGAUCAAGUGUAGUACUGUUCUUAUCAGUUUAAUAUCUGAUACAUCCUCUAUCCGAGGACAAUAUAUAAAUGUAUUUUUGAAGCUGGGAGUUGGAAUAGGAGCUUGCUCCGUCCACUCCAAGAAAAAAAAAA